rnacentral:rRNA from 1 species
CGGUUAAGUUAGAAAGGGCGCACGGUGGAUGCCUUGGCACUAGGAGCCGAUGAAGGACGGGACGAACACCGAUAUGCUUCGGGGAGCUGUAAGCAAGCUUUGAUCCGGAGAUUUCCGAAUGGGGAAACCCACUGCUCGUAAUGGAGUAGUAUCCAUACUUGAAUACAUAGAGUAUGAGAAGGCAUACCCGGGGAACUGAAACAUCUAAGUACCCGGAGGAAGAGAAAGCAAAUGCGAUUCCCUGAGUAGCGGCGACACUCGUAAUGGAGUGGUAUCCAUAUCUGAAUUCAUAGGAUAUGAGAAGGCAGACCCGGGGAACUGAAACAUCUAAGUACCCGGAGGAAGAGAAAGCAAAUGCGAUUCCCUGAGUAGCGGCGAGCGAAACGGGAACAGCCCAAACCAAGAGGCUUGCCUCUUGGGGU